rnacentral:rRNA from 1 species
GAUGAACGCUGGCGGCGUGCUUAACACAUGCAAGUCGAACGAAGCACUUUAUUUGAUUUCCUUCGGGACUGAUUAUUUUGUGACUGAGUGGCGGACGGGUGAGUAACGCGUGGGUAACCUGCCUUGUACAGGGGGAUAACAGUUGGAAACGGCUGCUAAUACCGCAUAAGCGCACAGCAUCGCAUGAUGCAGUGUGAAAACCUCCGGUGGUAUAAGAUGGACCCGCGUUGGAUUAGCUAGUUGGUGAGGUAACGGCCCACCAAGGCGACGAUCCAUAGCCGACAUGAGAGGGUGACCGGCGACAUUGGGACUGAGAAACGGCCCAAAAUCCUACGGGAGGCAGCAGUGGGGAAUAUUGCACAAUGGGCGAAAGCCUGAUGCAGCGACGCCGCGUGAGCGAAGAAGUAUUUCGGUAUGUAAAGCUCUAUCAGCAGGGAAGAUAAUGACGGUACCUGACUAAGAAGCACCGGCUAAAUACGUG